rnacentral:rRNA from 1 species
AGAAGUUUGAAUCAUGGCUCAGGAUGAACGCUGGCGGCGUGCCUAAUACAUGCAAGUCGAGCGAACGGACGAGAAGCUUGCUUCUCUGAUGUUAGCGGCGGACGGGUGAGUAACACGUGGAUAACCUACCUAUAAGACUGGGAUAACUUCGGGAAACCGGAGCUAAUACCGGAUAAUAUUUUGAACCGCAUGGUUCAAAAGUGAAAGACGGUCUUGCUGUCACUUAUAGAUGGAUCCGCGCUGCAUUAGCUAGUUGGUAAGGUAACGGCUUACCAAGGCAACGAUGCAUAGCCGACCUGAGAGGGUGAUCGGCCACACUGGAACUGAGACACGGUCCAGACUCCUACGGGAGGCAGCAGUAGGGAAUCUUCCGCAAUGGGCGAAAGCCUGACGGAGCAACGCCGCGUGAGUGAUGAAGGUCUUCGGAUCGUAAAACUCUGUUAUUAGGGAAGAACAUAUGUGUAAGUAACUGUGCACAUCUUGACGGUACCUAAUCAGAAAGCCACGGCUAACUACGUGCCAGCAGCCGCGGUAAUACGUAGGUGGCAAGCGUUAUCCGGAAUUAUUGGGCGUAAAGCGCGCGUAGGCGGUUUUUUAAGUCUGAUGUGAAAGCCCACGGCUCAACCGUGGAGGGUCAUUGGAAACUGGAAAACUUGAGUGCAGAAGAGGAAAGUGGAAUUCCAUGUGUAGCGGUGAAAUGCGCAGAGAUAUGGAGGAACACCAGUGGCGAAGGCGACUUUCUGGUCUGUAACUGACGCUGAUGUGCGAAAGCGUGGGGAUCAAACAGGAUUAGAUACCCUGGUAGUCCACGCCGUAAACGAUGAGUGCUAAGUGUUAGGGGGUUUCCGCCCCUUAGUGCUGCAGCUAACGCAUUAAGCACUCCGCCUGGGAC